GAUGAAGAACGUAGCGAAAUGCGAUAAGUAAUGUGAAUUGCAGAAUUCAGUGAAUCAUCGAAUCUUUGAACGCACAUUGCGCCCGCCAGUAUUCUGGCGGGCAUGCCUGUCUGAGUGUCAUUUCAACCCUCAUGCCCCUAGGGCGUGGUGUUGGGGAUCGGCCAAAGCCCGCGAGGGACGGCCGGCCCCUAAAUCUAGUGGCGGACCCGUCGUGGCCUCCUCUGCGAAGUAGUGAUAUUCCGCAUCGGAGAGCGACGAGCCCCUGCCGUUAAACCCCCAACUUUCCAAGGUUGACCUCAGAUCAGGUAGGAAUACCCGCUGAACUUAAGCAUAUCAAUAAGCGGAGGA
rnacentral:misc_RNA from 1 species